rnacentral:rRNA from 1 species
AGAGUUUGAUCCUGGCUCAGGAUGAACGCUGGCGGCGUGCCUAAUACAUGCAAGUCGAGCGAACAGACGAGGAGCUUGCUCCUUCGACGUUAGCGGCGGACGGGUGAGUAACACGUAGGUAACCUACCUAUAAGACUGGGAUAACUUCGGGAAACCGGAGCUAAUACCGGAUAAUAUUUCGAACCGCAUGGUUCGAUAGUGAAAGAUGGCUUUGCUAUCACUUAUAGAUGGACCUGCGCCGUAUUAGCUAGUUGGUAAGGUAACGGCUUACCAAGGCAACGAUACGUAGCCGACCUGAGAGGGUGAUCGGCCACACUGGAACUGAGACAC